rnacentral:rRNA from 1 species
UACAUGGGGGUGCAAACGUUGCUCGGAAUUAUUGGGCGUAAAGCGCGCGUAGGCGGUUACUUAAGUCGGAUGUGAAAGCCCUCGGCUUAACUGAGGAAGUGCACCCGAAACUGAGUAGCUAGAGUACGAAAGAGGGUCGCGGAAUUCCCGGUGUAGAGGUGAAAUUCGUAGAUAUCGGGAGGAACACCGGUGGCGAAGGCGGCGACCUGGGUCGAGACUGACGCUGAGGCGCGAAAGCGUGGGGAGCAAACAGG